UACGUAGGGGGCAAGCGUUGUCCGGAAUCAUUGGGCGUAAAGAGCGCGUAGGCGGUCCGGUAAGUCCGCUCUGAAAGUCCGGGGGCUCAACCCCGGGAGGCGGGCGGAUACUGUCGGGCUAGAGUCCGGAAGAGGCGAGUGGAAUUCCUGGUGUAGCGGUGAAAUGCGCAGAUAUCAGGAGGAACACCGGUGGCGAAGGCGGGUCUCUGGGCCGUAACUGACGCUGAGGAGCGAAAGCAUGGGGAGCGAACAGG
rnacentral:rRNA from 1 species